GUGGAUCCUGGCAGCUCCAGGCCUCCACGAAAAACACCUGCUCUGCUGGCAGCCGGGAAGGAGAGGCCCAGAAUAGCUCAGCCACCCACUCCUGGAAACACAGGAACCACCCCCCAUUCCCCGCCGGCUACUGCAGGCAAGGAGGGAAUGUCAGGAGACUGGCUGAGGGAGGCCUACUUGGACGAUUCACCCAACACUAUGAAAAGGCCUGGAAGGUCCCUACAAUGGGAAGAGGGCAAAAGGUCUUCAUCAUGGACGUGUUCAACAUGGCACCCGACGUGGCCCUUUUACAAAGGGACCUGUGGCCAGGAAGACUGGGAAGUACUGCCUUGGGGAUUCACGAGGAACAGGAGCCUCUGGGAGGAAAAGACAAAGCAAAUCCAUGUCUGGAUUUCCCACACACCUUUCUUCAGUUAACUAUUCCAGAUACCACCAGCGUGGAAGAAGAGCACAGCCCAGGCCUUCAAGCAGUUGCCUGGAUAUGGUUGGUUGGAUGCUCUUUUACCAUAGCGAAUUAUUGUUGCUUCCCUGUUCCCAUUUCUGCUUUUGUAAUAUGGGACAAAUGUAACUGAGAAAAAG
rnacentral:lncRNA from 1 species